UCAGAACCCCAGAAACCUCAGCCCUCAAGUUCGCCAUCUCUCUUCCAUCUAUACUCUCUUUGAUCUCUGCUUUGCGCUUUUCAAAGUUUGCUAUUUGAUCUCUUCCAUCGGCUUUUCUCUGAGAGUCCAACUCGAGUCCUCAAGUAAAAACCCUAUGCUUCCCUGUUUUUCUUCUCAGCAUCUUACAAAAUCUUUUCAGUUUUAGCAGCAGCGGCCACCACUUUUCCUGAAAGGAAUCUAUCUUCCUCCUCACAGUUUCUCAAAUUAUUAGGCUUUUUUCCUUUAACCUUUGGUUGAGCUCUGAGUCUAUGACCACAUUUUUAGGGUAUUCGACGACCGAUCGGAGGGUUUUGGCCGAAUUCCGAAGUGGGUUCACUCUUUCGGCGAGAUUAAUUUCGUCUUCAGGAGAUUAAUUAAAAGUUAGAAGGGUGGAGCCAGUUGUUUUUGAAAAAGGCCAAAAUUUUCCAGGAAGAAAAUUAAGCUUGAAAUUAAAUUGGGGACUUGAAAGAAAUUGUGAAAAACUGCAUUAAGGUACUCCCCCAACGAAGCCGUCAAUCACCUGUUCACCCAAGAUUUACAAGACAAUGAACAUCGUAACAAUUCUGACUUAAAGCCUCUUUUGAACCAAUUCAAAGGCUUACAAUGGACAGUUGAACUGGAACCAAGUUUGCAAUCACUCUUGGACUUCUAGCUCUUAACGCAAUUGAACAAGGAAAUCUAAAACCCAAAUUUAGAGGUAAUCAAAAUAAUUUUACCAAUUUUCAGCAUUUGAGGUUUUAAUACCGUUUUUUCCAAUUCAACGAACACAAUAUGCAAUUUGUAAAAAUUACAAAAAUAUCAUUGUCCUGAUCCUAGAAACCAUCGUUCUUCAUUCCCCUUAAAUUAUAUGUUACAUGAACAAAUAAAUCAAGUCACAAAGAAUCAAUCAUAUUGCCCACUCAUUUUUCAAAUCCAAUGCACAACUUUUUAAUAUCAGAAAAAUUGCUGAUAUUAUUGGACAACUUUCCAAAGGUUUGUUUUUGCCCUUCAGUUGCUCUUCAAAUGUAGCUUUUUUUAAAUGUUACAAGUAAUAUGACGGUUUUGACCUUGAUGCCGAGUCUCUUCCUCGGAAAUUGCUAGAAAAAUCGGUUGCUUUGCUACGUGAUUGACCAUUUUGAUCAUGCUUCCUUCGCUCCGCUUCAUGAACUCUUCAAUCCUUGCUUCGUCAUAUCUUCCAUCUUGCUUCAUCAUCUCUUCCAUCUCUGCUUCGCAAUCUCCUAGCCGUCUCAUCCUACACUCGAUUUUUCUAGCCUUCCACAGGUAUUUAAGCCUCACUUUUCUUAAGAAUCUAAAUAUUUGAUUUUUCGCUGUGGUUUGUAACUUUGAUCAUAAAUUUAAAUCUUCUCCUCAUAGUGACUAUUUUACCUUUUAUCUCGCUCACAGUCAUCGCAAUAAUUCUCAAACCCUCAAAACGACAAAUCAAUAUGAUUAAAAUGCUAUAAUCCUAAUCUAGGUCUGCCAUUUGUUCAAGUUGGCAACAACUAUAGAGGUAAGCUCUCUGCUAAUAUUUUCUAAUUCACACUUUAUUUCUUUUUACAUAUGAGUAAAUUUUUUCAUGGAUUUAUAUAUAUUUUUUUCAUGUGAAUUCAAACUCAAAUCGGAAUUACAUACUAGUAGAAACAAAUUUAAUAAAUUUUUUAUUUGCGUGU